CUGCAAUUUUAUUUAAACAAGUUUUUCCCUACCCAAUUCCCUGCAGAGAAGUAUUGUACCCUUUUGUUGAUUGUAGUGGACAUAUUGCAGAUCUCUGAUUACCUUCCCAAAGGACCACCCACUACAAGAAGGUUUUGUGUUGCAAGCACAGCUUUGCUCGUUCCUCUCCCCUCCCAUUCACCUUCUUAUUUUUUCUUGUUUUUUGGGUUUUUUUUUCUGUUUUUCUCCCAACCCUUUAAUUUUCCUAGCAUUCUCAUAUGCUGUGGAUGAGCUGACAGACUAGCCUGCCAUCUGUUCUUUCAUGACAUGGUGCAACCUAAUCAAUUAUCCCCAAACCACUUUGGAGUAAAUAAAAUGUCUACAAUAAUAAUAAUUAGUCAGUUAAAAAGAAAACAGCAUCACACAACUCCUGGUGGGAAUUAGGUAGAUUUCAGAACACAGCAUUUUAUUAACUGAGACUAUUAGACCAGGAGAUGACAACUUUGGGAGAAAAAGAAGUCACCUUCAGUAAUUUAUUCUGAGACUUGAGAAUAAGGGAGCACCCCUGGACUUUGGAUAUCUUUGACCCAUUGUAACCAGUGAUGUCAGGUUCAAGUAAAUUUGCCACUGGUGCUGCAAUUAAUAGACGCAUUAACAUAAACAUGAGAAUUUGCCUUAGCGUUAGGUCUGUAUUAAAAUACCAAUAAAUAUUAAAAAAGAAAUAAUGACCAGCAGUUGGCAUUUAUAUAGUGUGAAGAGACAUAUACAUUUCUUCAAACGUACACAUGAGGCAUGACAUUUCUUCAGGGUGAGAUUUGUCUACAAAUAACAGCAUGAGUAGAAAUCCCUGAUGUAAGAGUGGAUUACACAUGCACACACUUCAAGAACAGUCAAAAAGCAGAAAUACGAGCUGUUACAAACAGAAACCAGCUUUGCAAUAUUAGGAAUUAAGAAAAUUGGAAGAUUGCUGUUAAUAUUGUUGAACACUCAAGAUCACACAAAGCCAAUACUCACAUAGUUAUUCAGGCCACUGUUUUCCACAAUGCAAACAACUGCUACGAUAAUUUUUUGACAUUGAUUUUGUCAGAUUACUGUAGCAGUUAUUCAACUUAAUCAAUUGCUGGGCAUUUGAAAUUUAUCUUUGCAUCUGAGUGACAAUUUCAGGAUUUUUUACUAUUGCUACAUGAAUGAAGCCAAGGAUAAAUCAGAAAGUAGCAGUAUUCUAGAAAGAUCAUUAGCACAUUGCCAACUAAAAUUUCAGCCAAAGGAUCAAUAUAAUAUCACUGAUCACACUGAUGACAUGAAGGAGGAAUUGUCUCAUUAUUCUCUGUAUUUUGAUUGCAAAUGAUUAUUACCUAUGUUCUUUGUGUCCUGAAAGAUGUCAACAUGUAUAGCUGUGCAAGUAUUAAAGACACAGUAAUAAGUAAAAUAACUUCAGGUGUAUAAGUGAUGUAUCCAGUCUUCUCUAAACUGUAAGGAUUUCACACCCUUUAAUUAUUUUCCUCUGGACUACCAACUUUACCAGUAAGUUAACAGACAACAUAACAGUGUGAGUCUGAACUUUCUACACAAAACCCGACUGUCUGAUGACCAUCCCAAGACAGAGAAGACAGUGAAUUCUGGAAAAAGAAAACUUGCAUGAACCAUCUUAGCAGCUAUGACAUAUAGAAAUACCAGACCACCUACUCCAGUAUUAUAAAGUCUAGGUAGCUCUAAAAGACAAAGUAAAAUGCUGAGAAUCUAUGUAACAUAGAAUCUACGUGCUCAUUUUCACAGUCACCCAUUGUGACUGGUCCAUCUUGGAGGGAGAUGGAGACAAUUACCCAUAAAGCAUAAUGCACAGCAGCAAGAAAUGGUGUAUUUUAUGAUGCUGUUUUUUACAUGCCAGAUUAGGUCUGUCCUUAAGCAUCUACGCUGAGGCAUGAGGCAGACUGAAGUUUAAACAUUCCUGGUCUUACUGAAAGCUCAGGUAAGAACAUAAACAAUCAAGCAGGAACAUGUACAGAGGGUGGAGAAAAAUCACCGUGAUGCAGGCCAGUGAAGAUAAAGCAAUGAAUCACAGAAGAUCUUCCAACAUUCCCUGUAUUACUGCACCACUAUGAUUUCUGUGACACGACAUGGAUCCCUUGCAGGCUUUUACAAACAUGAGAGUUCCCAUGUGUCGUUGACACUGAUGAAUUGCUAGAACGCUACAGAAGAACUUGGAAAUGGCAACAGAGCUGGCUCCACCGGAGUUAACUCAAGCUCCUGAGAGGGACCAGAGGGGUUUUGAUUCUUUUUAUUACAUGAUAUCAAUUAAGUGUUUAGUAAUUUACAAUAUAAAGCAACUUUCCAAUGGAAUUUUUAACAAAAUGGAAACAAAUUACCUUUGAGAUGGUUAUCAUUUGGAAUCUUGAGUAAAAUGAAAAUAAGACAAAUGCCAACACGCUUUCCUGCCGUCCAAAACAACUUGCCAGGCAUCCCUGUUUCAAAUCAAGUAAAUCUGUGCAGCUUCUCUUUGACAGCAACACAAAAUCUCAUGUGAAACACAGUGAAUGACACAGCUGAUGCAGAAGGCUAGCAGAAAUACUGCAUCAAGCAGCUUUUGUUUUGAAGUGGGUACCUCUGUUAUGCAACUCUCUUAGAAUUAGAAACUUCAGCAAGCAAAAACCACAAUUCCCAUACAGUUCUCAACUCAGAUGAUAUUUCCACACUUCUUAGGAACGGUCUAUUCACAACACAACAGUCUAUUCUAAAAUUCUGGCACCGGCAGAGACUGUAUUCGUAUCCCUUGGCUGGAGUAAAGGACCAAAUGGUGCAUUAUGGGUGGGAGGAAGGUGUUUACUGAAAGACAGAGGUAUUAUCCACUCAGUAAAGAAUGAUGACCAUGAACAAAAAACAGCAGAAGAGCAAUGUGCUGAUUAGGCACACCAACAGCUUUAACAGCUCCCUUCUGCUUCGAGGCUUUCUGCAGUCACUAGGAACAUGAGGCACACUACAGUGCACAGCGUUAGUAGUGUAACAGUAUGGAGCAGACCUAGCUGUAGUGAAGCGCUGACACUAACUUAGGAGUUUAUGAUCUUGACCUUAUGCACACGGCUGAGAAAAAUCUAAGCUUGAUAUUAAAAACUUCUGAGCUGUUUACCAAAAUUCAUUUCAGUGACAAAUGGUGAAAGAAAGUGCAAGUGGUGACCACACCUCUUUACACUUUGGACACAAAAGAUGGAGUUUUGUGUUCUCGGGCUAUGGAAAUGAGUAUAUUUCUUUAUUUCUACCUCUUUGUUAGUGGGAAAAGAAGAAAGGGAGAGACACAGUGGAGUGAAGAUGAGGUGUUGUGUGUGCUUCCUGUCCAUGCAGCUAUGCAAAAUAAACUGGACUACAAGGGAAGGAAUGAGCAGCAUUACUCUGAAGAGCAGUACAGGCUCUACAGACCACUUGUCUGGGAGAAAUUGUCUUGUACUGAGCAUACAUUUGUACAACAUCUGAUGCCAUUCCUUUGCAACCUCACUCUACAUAUGUUUUCUCACCAGUGUACACAGUGUUGCAGACACCAUUCCUCCUCCCCCAAGCAAGAAGAUCCUUUCAUUUCUCCAUGCCUCUUUGUCAUAUCGGCAGAUUCCUGCUGCUUUUUUUCUUUUCUUUUCUUUUCUUUUCUUUUCUUUUCUUUUCUUUUCUUUUCUUUUCUUUUCUUUUCUUUUCUUUUCUUUUCUUUUCUUUUCUUUUCUUUUCUUUUCUUUUCUUUUCUUUU
ensembl:lncRNA